CGGAGGAUCCAAGCGUUAUCCGGAUUUAUUGGGUUUAAAGGGUGCGUAGGCGGGACAGUAAGUCAGUGGUGAAAUCCUAUCGCUUAACGAUAGAAUUGCCAUUGAUACUGCUGACCUUGAGUACAAAUGAUGUGGGCGGAAUGUGCAGUGUAGCGGUGAAAUGCUUAGAUAUUGCACAGAACACCGAUAGCGAAGGCAGCUCACAAAAAUGUAACUGACGCUGAGGCACGAAAGUAUGGGGAUCAAACAGGAUUAGAUACCCUGGUAGUCCAUACAGUAAACGUUGAUAACUCGAUGUGUGCGAUAUACAGUACGCGUCCAAGGGAAACCGACAAGUUAUCCACCUGGGGAGUACGACCGCAAGGUUG
rnacentral:rRNA from 1 species